rnacentral:rRNA from 1 species
GACAGAGGGUGCAAACGUUGUUCGGAAUUACUGGGCGUAAAGCGAGUGUAGGCGGUUUGGUAAGUCGGAUGUGAAAGCCCCGGGCUCAACCCGGGAAGUGCACUCGAUACUGCCAAGCUAGAGUAUCGGAGAGGUUGGUGGAAUUCUCGGUGUAGAGGUGAAAUUCGUAGAUAUCGAGAGGAACACCGGCGGCGAAAGCGGCCUUCUGGACGAGGACUGACGCUGAGAUGCGAAAGCGUGGGGAGCAAACAGG